CACCCUAUAAAUAAGAAAGAAGAGAAAAAAAUUAAAAGAAUAAAAAACCCUAACCCUUACUCAGCCCUUUUUUUUCCUCCCUCAUAAUAAUUCUCUCUCUCCUCCCGUCUCCUCCCUCGACCCUCUUCUCCUUUCUUUUUCCCUGAACCGUCGGCAACCUCGAGUAUGCUGCAGGGUUGUGUGAAAACGAAGGCGUCGAGCGUGCGAAGGCGGCGAGUCGUGCGAAGUGGUGCGAGGGCGUGCAAAGUGGUGCGAGUUGUGCGAGUUGUGCGAGUUGUGCGAAAGGGUGCGAAGUGGUCGAGGGCAGUGCUGGGCAAGUGUACAACGCUGUGUGUGCGAGUGUGCGGUGGUUCGAAGGUUCGAGCGUCAUUGUUUUUGUACGAGCGUCGUUGUUUUUGUAAGCUGAUGUCCCAAUUUCAUAAGCGAAUCGUUUCAAUAUUCAGCGAUGAUUCUUCGUUACAAGACUAGGUGUGCUGGUGUCGCUGCAUGAGAUUGAGCAUACGGGGGAUAUUCUCUAGUCUUUAAACUUUAAAACGUUUUGGUUAAAGAUUAUAGAACUAUUAUGAUUUACUUAGUUUGUGGUUUAAAUAAA